CGGUGGCGGUCGGUACAUCGUUAAUCCCUUCUCUACCUGAGCUUUUCAUUUGAUGUUGUAUGACAGGUGGGGCUGGUUUGGUCAUGGGGCCAAGAAACGAGGUGGUUUUUCGAUGCAUUUGGGUGCGCGUGUUUCUACCGAGACACGGAUUAACCUAGACGCGAUUCCUCCGCGGUGAAAAAGGCCACCCAUCUCCUCCCGAUUCCCAGCCGCCGCCGCCGCCGCAUCCUCUCUCCUCCCCUGACGUCUCCUUUUUCCCCUCCUCUCCUCGCAACGGCCUCCUCCUUCCUGCACCGCCUCUUCCUCUCUUCCUUGCUGAUGGCGCCACCCGCCGGUCGAUGCCUCCUGUCUUGCCCUUUCCAUGGGGAGGUGGAGAUGGGAAGAUGGCGUUGGAGGAGGAAAACGAGAUCCAGGCAGUGGAAAGAUGGCGUUGGAGGAGGAAAACGAGAUCCAGGCAGUGGAAAGAUGGCGUUGGAGGAGGGAGCACGGGUGGGCGCCGCAGCUGAAGCACGGGUGGCCUGGUUGUGGCGGAGCAUGGCGGGAUUCCGGGCGGCGUCGUGGUCGUGGUCAAGAGCAGAAGCACGGGUGGCCGCCGUAGCUGAGCUUCUAUGUAACAUAGUUCCGAUGAAUCCUCUGCCGCAUCUGGCCUCUGCAGAUUCGUUUUUGUAUCUACCUAUAAGGCGUUCGAUGAAAAUCCAAGCUGCUGCAGUGGCAGAUUACGCCGUCCUCUUGCAUGCUGAGCCAUGUUGGGCUCUCCUGUUCUUUUUUGUUGGCUUGACGUACGCACUGGCAACCUCUUAUGUGAGGGAUUCAGCAUGCCUCUAUUUGAGAGAAAAGAUAUGGAGAAGCGGAUUUUCAGGUAUGCUCUAUGGUUUGGAGCAAUGCCACUUUGAUUUGGUUCACAUUUUCUUUAUAGGUUGAUGUUGUCUGUUGAGUAUAUGAGGUUGCCGCUGCUCCAUGUUAAGUACCAGCCAGAACUGCCAUUAUAUAUUUAUUAAGCUAGGAGGCUGCACCGGUCAUGAAUUUAAAUAGGCUUGCUACCACUUUAUUUUGGUCAACAUUUUUGGCCCUGAACAUGUUAUGUUUCGAUUUAUGAGGUUAAAGCACACUACUGCUUGCAUAAACAGCAACCUGUUGAAAGUAUUGUUGGGUCACUUGUAGGCUUCUAGCUAUUUUGAUUUUAUGAUAUACAACACUUUCAGAUCAGUAAAUACAAUGACCUCCCUUUUACAUUAAACAAUCGUGAUUGUUCUCGUACCAUUUGGUAUUUUCACCAAGUUCAGGGAAAGAAAAGUUUCCCUAGACAGGUGGCGGCGGCGGUCAAGACAAGAGCGGCGUUGUGAGCGACGGCCCUUGAUCGUCUUCCUUGUGGAAUCAGGUACACGUCGUCCAUCGUGGCCCAUCGUGGGUGUUGGCGGGCGACCGGAGGCGGCUACAGCAGGCCAGUGUCCGUGAUCAUGACUGACACCGGGAAGGCUGCCGGUCUACAGUUGUGCACUCGAUUCAAAUGAUUAUUCUCCGUUCUUUGCCUCAGAACUACAUAUGAGAGGUACAAAGGAUUGGCCAAUAUACUCAAUUAAGCUAUUCGAUUUGAGAUAAUGGAUGCAUUUUGAUGGAUCACAACAUGCUCUAUGGUGUUGUGGAUCACCUGGAUAUCUUCUGAUAUUCAUCUUUCCAUGCUGCAACAAGGAGGGUGUAUGAGCUUAGAGAGUUCUUAGUGUCCUUUCUCGUGACUGUUCAAAUAAGAAUCUGAUUAUUAGGCAUAGAAGUGAGAAAACUUCCACGAUGAAGUGACUGCUUGCUUCACAUGCACAUGGCUUGCCUGAUAUAAUCACGACCUUCGCGUGUGAUCUGGAGUGGCCUGAGAUAGUUCAGGGUCUUGAACAUGGGCAAAAAGCAGUCGACAGGACUGAUAUUACCGUACGAGUGCAUCAGAUGAAGCUUCUUGAUUACCUGCAGAAAAUCAGCACCGGGCAGGUGUUCGGGACUGUCGUUGCUGAACUUUCUGUUCUCCAGUUGUCCACACUGUGGAGUUCCAAAAGAGGGGUCUGCCCCAUGCACGUAUCCUUGUUUGGCAGCAGAAGAACAGUGCCCAGGGAUCUAAACUGACUGAUGUUGACGAUGGUACUGCUGCCACUGCACUUGCUAAGACCAUGGAAACUGCACUUGCUCAGCCACCCAGACUUAAAAUGGGUGCUGCUGCUACUACAAAGACCGGUUCAUAAAAAAAAUAGUAGUUGAUCCAUGCUUGGGGAUAAGCAUGAGUGUGUGGUACGUCUAUUCCAACGACCUAUAGUUCUUAAACAGAUUUGUUCAGGCCUUUCUUUUGGUUAUUUUCCACUUACCAUGGUUUACAUUGUGUUGUCUUUUAUAUGAUAUAUAUGGGAGUUGCUAUCUCGCGCGCGCUCGUUACGACGCUCGGUUUCCGACAAAGUAAAAUUUCCAGUUUAGGCAAUCAGCGUGAGAUUGAAAUG